UACGUAGGGACCAAGCGUUGUCCGGAAUCAUUGGGCGUAAAGGGCGCGUAGGCGGCUUUAUAAGUCGGGGGUGAAAGCCUGUGGCUCAACCACAGAAUUGCCUUCGAUACUGUAGAGCUUGAGACCGGAAGAGGUAAGUGGAACUGCGAGUGUAGAGGUGAAAUUCGUAGAUAUUCGCAAGAACACCAGUGGCGAAGGCGGCUUACUGGUCCGGUUCUGACGCUGAGGCGCGAAAGCGUGGGGAGCAAACAGG
rnacentral:rRNA from 1 species